rnacentral:lncRNA from 10 species
CUGCCUUUCAUCAACUGUGUUAUCUUGGGCUAGGUCAUAAAAGACAUUGUGGCUUCUACCCUACUCUCUGUUGAAUUACUCAUUCUGAGGGAAGUCAGUUGCCAUGUCAUGAGGUCAUGUAAGCAGCCAGUGGAGAAGUCCAUGUGGAAAAGUCCAUGUAGUGAGAAACUGAGGCCUCCUGUCGACAGCCAGCAUGAACUCAUUACGCAUAUGAGAGUGAAACAUCAUGGAAGUGGAUCCUCUAGCCCCAGAUGAAAUGUUGAGCUGGUUGGCUCCUGUCACAUGGUAUAGAGCAGAGUCCAUUUGCAAUACACAAGAAGAGAAGCAUAACAUCAACCUGGUGACAAAUAGAGAUUGUGUGUUUACUACAGUCUGAAGAAACUUUGUCCUGUGAGUAUAUUAGAGUCUAAUGAGGGCAAUAAAUAAAUAGCAAUACUCAAAACAGCCA